CCUGACACCUCUCCCAAGUCAAUGGUGGGAGAAGCCUGGAUCCCUUCACAGACAUUCUCCAGGGCUGCUCAUAAAGAUGGCCCUGCAGUCCGAACCACACUUCCAGGACAGAAAUCACUCUACAGCUCUUCUUCAUCUCUCCUAGGCUAGGGAGAUACACUUCUGCCUGGAAGAUCACUUGAACUUACUGCUCCCUAGUGAAAGACCUUGACAUCCUCUCCCAGACCACUGCCCUGUGGAAUGUCUUACCAGGCGACUCAGCUUUCAACCUCCAUCUGAAGAUCUCACUGAUGAGAACUGCUUUUGAAAGAGCAGUCUCUGCCUAUGGUUGAUCUACCUGCCCCUGACAUGUUUUAUUUGUUUCAUUUUGGUCUUAAAUGGAACCUCCUCCUGUUAAUGGAAUAAAUGCUGCCUAAUUUUCUUU